rnacentral:rRNA from 1 species
GACGAACGCUGGCGGCGUGCUUAACACAUGCAAGUCGAACGAAGAGCGAUGGAAGCUUGCUUCUAUCAAUCUUAGUGGCGAACGGGUGAGUAACGCGUAAUCAACCUGCCCUUCAGAGGGGGACAACAGUUGGAAACGACUGCUAAUACCGCAUACGAUCUGACCUCGGCAUCGAGGAUAGAUGAAAGGUGGCCUCUACAUGUAAGCUAUCACUGAAGGAGGGGAUUGCGUUUGAUUAGCUAGUUGGAGGGGUAACGGCCCACCAAGGCGAUGAUCAGUAGCCGGUCUGAGAGGAUGAACGGCCACAUUGGGACUGAGACACGGCCCAGACUCCUACGGGAGGCAGCAGUGGGGAAUCUUCCGCAAUGGACGAAAGUCUGACGGAGCAACGCCGCGUGAGUGAUGACGGCCUUCGGGUUGUAAAGCUCUGUUAAUCGGGACGAAAGGCCUUUUUGCGAAUAGUGAGAAGGAUUGACGGUACCGGAAUAGAAAGCCACGGCUAACUACGUG